UCAUUUAAGGUAGAGACCGAUAGCAAUCACGUGAUAGAAAGAAUUCGCAUAUUUGCACGUGCUUUUUUUCCGGAUUCCGGAACGCCGUCAAAUAAAAGUCUCCAUUUACACAUUAUUGUCUAUGCUACAAGAUGGCCGACGAAGCGAUCGAGGUAUUUCCUCGACUUAAAAGACAAAGUUACCAUACGUAUUAAAUCUUUACGGUUCUCGAAAUUGAAGCAUCUUCAUGAGAAUCAAAAUAGAAGUGAGACUGAAGCCGAACAUGAACAUAAUUUUGGUGAAACUACUCCUUGUCCAGUGUCCAUUGCAGCACCACGUGGGUACACCGGUAUCGAUCUGUGCCUGAUGUUGUUUUCUGUAUAGACAUUUUAAAGACCAUGACCCUACAGAUGUUAAUUGGGAUGACGGAAGAAGUAAAUUUUUGCAGAACAGAUUUUUUGUAUGUCCGUGUCAGAUACAUAAGGUGAAGCAAGCUAUGAACUAGACAGUGUAGUUAGCUUUCUCUGCUGAAAUAAUGUGACCAAAUCAAGUGUCACCUGGAAAGAGGAAUGUCAAGGGUGCUUUUUACAUUAACUCCAAAAUAGCCAUUGGAAAGUUCAAGCCAGAUCUGCUACACCAGAAGUGGCAUACUUGUGUGUCAGGAAACGAGGAACAUGUAUGGCUAGACUGAGAAUCUAACCGGGGAUCCCUGCAUCACUACUU